rnacentral:rRNA from 1 species
CAGCCGCCGCGGGAAUACGAAGGGGGCUAGCGUUGCUCGGAAUGACUGGGCGUAAAGGGCGCGUAGGCGGCGGCCAAAGUCAGGCGUGAAAUUCCCGGGCUCAACCUGGGGGCUGCGUUUGAUACUUGGUUGCUUGAGUGGGGAAGAGGGUCGUGGAAUUCCCAGUGUAGAGGUGAAAUUCGUAGAUAUUGGGAAGAACACCGGUGGCGAAGGCGGCGACCUGGUCCUUUACUGACGCUGAGGCGCGAAAGCGUGGGGAGCAAACAGGAUUAGAUACCCGUGUAGUCCCUGUCUCUUAUAC